UACGUAAGGGGCAAGCGUUGUCCGGAAUCACUGGGCGUAAAGCGCACGUAGGCGGUUUAGCAAGUUAGGGGUGCAAGCUCCAGGCUUAACCUGGAAACUGCCUCUAAAACUACUUCACUUGAGUAUUAGAGGGGAAGCUGGAAUUCACGGUGUAGCGGUGAAAUGCGUAGAUAUCAGGAGGAACACCUAUAGCGAAGGCAGCUUGCUGGGACGUUACUGACGCUAAGGCGCGAAAGCGUGGGGAGCGAACAGG
rnacentral:rRNA from 1 species